rnacentral:rRNA from 1 species
GAUGAACGCUGGCGGCAUGCCUUACACAUGCAAGUCGAACGGCAGCACGGGUGCUUGCACCUGGUGGCGAGUGGCGAACGGGUGAGUAAUAUAUCGGAACGUACCUUAUUGUGGGGGAUAACGCAGCGAGAGCUGUGCUAAUACCGCAUAAUCCCUAAGGGGGAAAGCGGGGGACCGUAAGGCCUCGCGCAAUUAGAGCGGCCGAUACCUGAUUAGCUAGUUGGUGAGGUAAAGGCUCACCAAGGCAACGAUCAGUAGCUGGUCUGAGAGGACGAUCAGCCACACUGGGACUGAGACACGGCCCAGACUCCUACGGGAGGCAGCAGUGGGGAAUUUUGGACAAUGGGGGCAACCCUGAUCCAGCAAUGCCGCGUGAGUGAAGAAGGCCUUCGGGUUGUAAAGCUCUUUUGUCAGGGAAGAAACAGCAGCUCUAACACAGUUUGCGAGUGACGGUACCUGAAGAAUAAGCACCGGCUAACUACGUGCCAGCAGCCGCAGUAA